GAUUAACGCUGGCGGCGUGCCUAACACAUGCAAGUCGAGCGGCAGCGAGUUUUACACUGAAUUCUGGAAGCUUCUAGUUGAAAGAGAAGAUUUAUUCAAGAAUUUUGUGUAAAAUGUCGGCGAGCGGCGGACGGCUGAGUAACGCGUGGGAACGUACCCCAAAGUGAGGGAUAACGCAUCGAAAGGUGUGCUAAUACCGCAUAUGGUCUUCGGAUUAAAGCCUUCGGGCGCUUUGGGAACGGCCUGCGUAAGAUUAGAUAGUUGGUGGGGUAAUGGCCUACCAAGUCGACGAUCUUUAACUGGGUUGAGAGGAUGAUCAGUCAGACUGGAACUGAGACACGGUCCAGACUCCUACGGGAGGCAGCAGUGAGGAAUCUUCCACAAUGGGCGAAAGCCUGAUGGAGCAACGCCGCGUGCAGGAUGAAGGCCUUCGGGCUGUAAACUGCUUUUAUAAGUGAGGAUUAUGACAGUAACUUAUGAAUAAGGAUCGGCUAACUACGUG
rnacentral:rRNA from 1 species